rnacentral:snRNA from 1 species
GGAUGUGAGGGCAAUCUGGCAGCGACAUCUGUCACCUCACUGAUUGUCAGGGUUGAUUCAGCGGACCUGGCUGCCUAGGCGGGUAUCCCCGUCCUCCCUCAAGGAUCCAUGUGGGUCCCUCCAGAAGCUGCGCGCUCAGUCGAAGAGGACAACCACCCCCGAUAGAGGAGGACCGUUCCUCAGUCAAGGGUGUAUGAGUAGCUGCGCUCCCCUGCUAGAACCUCCAAACAAGCUCUCAAAUAAACCAGGUAGGGUUGGCUAUGGGUAAAACAAAUUAUAGUGGAGAUAGAUAAAUAGAUAGAUAGAUAGAUCUUUAAUUU